rnacentral:rRNA from 1 species
CCUACGGCGGGCUGCAGUGAGGAAUAUUGGUCAAUGGGCGCAAGCCUGAACCAGCCAAGUCGCGUGAGGGAAGACGGCCCUACGGGUUGUAAACCUCUUUUGCCGGGGAGCAAGCCUGAGCACGUGUGCCCAGGCGGAGAGUACCCGGAGAAAAAGCAUCGGCUAACUCCGUGCCAGCAGCCGCGGUAAUACGGAGGAUGCGAGCGUUAUCCGGAUUUAUUGGGUUUAAAGGGUGCGCAGGCGGAAGAUCAAGUCAGCGGUAAAAUUGAGAGGCUCAACCUCUUCGAGCCGUUGAAACUGGUUUUCUUGAGUGAGCGAGAAGUAUGCGGAAUGCGUGGUGUAGCGGUGAAAUGCAUAGAUAUCACGCAGAACUCCGAUUGCGAAGGCAGCAUACCGGCGCUCAACUGACGCUCAUGCACGAAAGUGUGGGUAUCGAACAGGAUUAGAUACCCGGGUAGUC